rnacentral:rRNA from 1 species
AACGAACGCUGGCGGCAGGCUUAACACAUGCAAGUCGAGCGCCCCGCAAGGGGAGCGGCAGACGGGUGAGUAACGCGUGGGAACGUACCUUUUGGUUCGGAGCAACUCCGGGAAACUGGAGCUAAUACCGGAUAAGCCCUAACGGGGAAAGAUUUAUCGCCGAAAGAUCGGCCCGCGUCUGAUUAGCUAGUUGGUGAGGUAACGGCUCACCAAGGCGACGAUCAGUAGCUGGUCUGAGAGGAUGAUCAGCCACACUGGGACUGAGACACGGCCCAGACUCCUACGGGAGGCAGCAGUGGGGAAUAUUGGACAAUGGGCGCAAGCCUGAUCCAGCCAUGCCGCGUGAGUGAUGAAGGCCUUAGGGUUGUAAAGCUCUUUUGUCCGGGAAGAUAAUGACUGUACCGGAAGAAUAAGCCCCGGCUAACUUCGUG